rnacentral:rRNA from 1 species
UACGGAGGGAGCUAGCGUUGUUCGGAAUUACUGGGCGUAAAGCGCACGUAGGCGGCUUUGUAAGUUAGAGGUGAAAGCCCGGGGCUCAACCCCGGAAUUGCCUUUAAGACUGCAUCGCUUGAAUCCAGGAGAGGUGAGUGGAAUUCCGAGUGUAGAGGUGAAAUUCGUAGAUAUUCGGAAGGAACACCAGUGGCGAAGGCGGCUCACUGGACUGGUAUUGACGCUGAGGUGGCGAAAGCGUGGGAGCAACAGG